rnacentral:rRNA from 1 species
CCUACGGGAGGCAGCAGUGGGGAAUUUUGGACAAUGGGCGCAAGCCUGAUCCAGCAAUGCCGCGUGCAGGAUGAAGGCCUUCGGGUUGUAAACUGCUUUUGUACGGAACGAAACGGCGAGCUCUAAUAAAGUUCGCUAAUGACGGUACCGUAAGAAUAAGCACCGGCUAACUACGUGCCAGCAGCCGCGGUAAUACGUAGGGUGCAAGCGUUAAUCGGAAUUACUGGGCGUAAAGCGUGCGCAGGCGGUGAUGUAAGACAGAUGUGAAAUCCCCGGGCUCAACCUGGGACCUGCAUUUGUGACUGCAUCGCUAGAGUACGGUAGAGGGGGAUGGAAUUCCGCGUGUAGCAGUGAAAUGCGUAGAUAUGCGGAGGAACACCGGAUGGCGAAGGCAAUCCCCUGGACCUGUACUGACGCUCAUGCACGAAAGCGUGGGGAGCAAACAGGAUUAGAUACCCUGGUAGUCCACGCCCUAAACCGAUGUCAACUGGUUGUUGGGUCUUCACUGACUCAGUACGAAGCUAACGCGUGAAGUUGACCGCCUGGGGAGUACGGCCGCAAGGUUGAAACGUCAAAGGAAUUGACGGCUGAGACCGNGCGAGCGACGACGAGGGAGAGG